rnacentral:tRNA from 1 species
GGCCGUGUAGCGUAAUGGUUAACGCGCUAGUUUCCGGUUUUGACAAGUACUACCAAGCUAGAGAUUCCGAGUUCGAGUCUCGGCAUGGUCG